UCCUGGACAUCCAAGUAGCAAUAGUGAGGAUGUCCUGGUGACAGUGGCGAAAGGGUGAGUAACGACGCGGGUAAUCUGACCCUCGAAGUUGGGGAUAGCUCUAGCGAAAGCGGAAUUAAUACCGAAUGUGGUCGUCCUUCACAUGAAGGAUUAUCCAAAGCCGGGGACCGCAAGGCCUGGCGCUUGAGGAUGAGCCCACGUCCUAUCAGCUUGUUGGUGAGGUGACGGCUUACCAAGGCUAUGACGGGUAGCUGGUCUGAGAGGAUGGUCAGCCACACUGGGACUGAGACACUGCCCAGACUCCUACGGGAGGCUGCAGUCGAGGAUCAUUCGCAAUGCGCGAAAGCGUGACGGUGCGACGCCGCGUGCAGGAUGAAGGCCUUCGGGUCGUUAAAAACCUGCUGUCAUGAGGGAACAAUGUCCGGGAUGCCAACAUCAUCUCGGGGUGAUAGUACCUCAAGAGGAAGCCACGGCUAACUCUGUGCCAGCCGCAGC
rnacentral:rRNA from 1 species